UUAAAUGCCAUAGAUUCUGUUUCUAACACAAAGGUCCUACUUGGUGAGCUAAGAGAACAUGGUUGGGACUCUCUUUUAGAGGAGGUCAAAUCUUUUUGUGUGAAGCACGAGAUUGAUAUCCCAGAUUUGGACCGCAAGUAUGUUGAUGUUACCAAAUCUCGAAAUAAGCAUGACAACACAACAACGCUCCACCACUACAAAGUCGAUGUUUUCAGUGUUGCAAUUGAUCAACAACUGAGUGAACUGAAUGAUCGAUUCAGUACACAAGCAACUGAGCUCCUUACUCUCUGUUCAUCAUUGGAUCCAAGGCAUGAAUCUUUUGAUAUCCCAAAGAUAAGCACUCUUGCAGAAAAAUUCUAUCCUGCUGAUUUUUCAAGUCAA
rnacentral:rRNA from 1 species